rnacentral:rRNA from 1 species
CCUACGGGGGGCAGCAGUGGGGAAUAUUGCACAAUGGGGGAAACCCUGAUGCAGCGACGCCGCGUGAGUGAAGAAGUAUUUCGGUAUGUAAAGCUCUGUCAGCAGGGAAGAAAAUGACGGUAUCUGACCAAGAAGCCCCGGCUAACUACGUGCCAGCAGCCGCGGUAAUACGUAGGGGGCAAGCGUUAUCCGGAUUUACUGGGUGUAAAGGGAGCGUAGACGGCAGGGCAAGUCUGGAGUGAAAGGCGGGGGCUCAACCACCGGACUGCUCUGGAAACUGCCAGGCUGGAGUGCAGGAGAGGUAAGAGGAAUUCCUAGUGUAGCGGUGAAAUGCGUAGAGAUUAGGAGGAACACCAGGGGCGAAGGCGGCUUACUGGACUGUAACUGACGUUGAGGCGCGAAAGCGUGGGGAGCAAACAGGAUUAGAUACCCUAGUAGUC